rnacentral:rRNA from 1 species
UGGACAACACGGAGGAAGGUGGGGAUGACGUCAAAUCAUCAUGCCCCUUAUGAUCUGGGCUACACACGUGCUACAAUGGCCGGUACAACGGGCAGCGAAGGAGCGAUCCGGAGCGAAUCCUAAAAAGCCGGUCCAGUUCGGAUUGCAGGCUGAAACUCGCCUACAUGAAGUUGGAGUUGCUAGUAAUCGCGAAUCAGAAUGUCGCGGUGAAUGCGUUCCCGGGUCUU